CUUGCUUCUCUUGAGAGCGGCGGACGGGUGAGUAAUGCCUAGGAAUCUGCCUGGUAGUGGGGGAUAACGUUCGGAAACGGACGCUAAUACCGCAUACGUCCUACGGGAGAAAGCAGGGGACCUUCGGGCCUUGCGCUAUCAGAUGAGCCUAGGUCGGAUUAGCUAGUUGGUGGGGUAAUGGCUCACCAAGGCGACGAUCCGUAACUGGUCUGAGAGGAUGAUCAGUCACACUGGAACUGAGACACGGUCCAGACUCCUACGGGAGGCAGCAGUGGGGAAUAUUGGACAAUGGGCGAAAGCCUGAUCCAGCCAUGCCGCGUGUGUGAAGAAGGUCUUCGGAUUGUAAAGCACUUUAAGUUGGGAGGAAGGGUUGUAGAUUAAUACUCUGCAAUUUUGACGUUACCGACAGAAUAAGCACCGGCUAACUCUGUGCCAGCAGCCGCGGUAAUACAGAGGGUGCAAGCGUUAAUCGGAAUUACUGGGCGUAAAGCGCGCGUAGGUGGUUUGUUAAGUUGGAUGUGAAAUCCCCGGGCUCAACCUGGGAACUGCAUUCAAAACUGACUGACUAGAGUAUGGUAGAGGGUGGUGGAAUUUCCUGUGUAGCGGUGAAAUGCGUAGAUAUAGGAAGGAACACCAGUGGCGAAAGCGACCACCUGGACUAAUACUGACACUGAGGUGCGAAAGCGUGGGGAGCAAAC
rnacentral:rRNA from 1 species